UGGCCCAGUGGUUGAGAGUUUGGCUGCUAACCAAAAGGUCAGUGGUUCAAAUCCACC
rnacentral:tRNA from 1 species